rnacentral:rRNA from 1 species
UACGUAGGGUGCAAGCGUUGUCCGGAAUUAUUGGGCGUAAAGAGCUCGUAGGCGGUCUGUCGCGUCGGCUGUGAAAUCCCGAGGCUCAACCUCGGGUCUGCAGUCGAUACGGGCAAACUAGAGUAUUGCAGGGGAGACUGGAAUUCCUGGUGUAGCGGUGGAAUGCGCAGAUAUCAGGAGGAACACCGGUGGCGAAGGCGGAUCUCUGGGCCAGUACUGACACUGAGGAGCGAAAGCGUGGGUAGCAAACAGG